GAUGAACGCUAGCUACAGGCUUAACACAUGCAAGUCGAGGGGCAGCGGGAUUGAAGCUUGCUUCAAUUGCCGGCGACCGGCGCACGGGUGAGUAACGCGUAUCCAACCUUCCGUACACUCAGGGAUAGCCUUUCGAAAGAAAGAUUAAUACCUGAUGGUAUCUUAAGCACACAUGUAAUUAAGAUUAAAGAUUUAUCGGUGUACGAUGGGGAUGCGUUCCAUUAGGUAGUAGGCGGGGUAACGGCCCACCUAGCCGACGAUGGAUAGGGGUUCUGAGAGGAAGGUCCCCCACAUUGGAACUGAGACACGGUCCAAACUCCUACGGGAGGCAGCAGUGAGGAAUAUUGGUCAAUGGGCGAGAGCCUGAACCAGCCAAGUAGCGUGAAGGAUGAAGGUCCUACGGAUUGUAAACUUCUUUUAUACGGGAUAAAGUAUCCUACGUGUAGGAUUUUGUAUGUACCGUAUGAAUAAGCAUCGGCUAACUCCGUG
rnacentral:rRNA from 1 species